UGAACGCUGGCGGCAGGCCUAACACAUGCAAGUCCAGCGUUUUCACAAGAGAGCUUGCUCUCUGGGUGACGAGCGGCGGACGGGUGAGUAAUGUCUGGGAAACUGCCUGAUGGAGGGGGAUAACUACUGGAAACGGUAGCUAAUACCGCAUGAUGUCUUCGGACCAAAGUGGGGGACCUUCGGGCCUUACGCCAUCAGAUGUGCCCAGAUGGGAUUAGCUAGUAGGUGGGGUAAUGGCUCACCUAGGCGACGAUCCCUAGCUGGUCUGAGAGGAUGACCAGCCACACUGGAACUGAGACACGGUCCAGACUCCUACGGGAGGCAGCAGUGGGGAAUAUUGCACAAUGGGCGCAAGCCUGAUGCAGCCAUGCCGCGUGUAUGAAGAAGGCCUUCGGGUUGUAAAGUACUUUCAGCGGGGAGGAAGGGAGUAAAGUUAAUACCUUUGCUCAUUGACGUUACCCGCAGAAGAAGCACCGGCUAACUCCGUGCCAGCAGCCGCGGUAAUACGGAGGGUGCAAGCGUUAAUCGGAAUUACUGGGCGUAAAGCGCACGCAGGCGGUUUGUUAAGUCAGAUGUGAAAUCCCCGGGCUCAACCUGGGAACUGCAUCUGAUACUGGCAAGCUUGAGUCUCGUAGAGGGGGGUAGAAUUCCAGGUGUAGCGGUGAAAUGCGUAGAGAUCUGGAGGAAUACCGGUGGCGAAGGCGGCCCCCUGGACGAAAGAAUGACGCUCAGGUGCGAAAGCGUGGGGAGCAAACAGGAUUAGAUACCCUGGUAGUCCACGCCGUAAACGAUGUCGAUUUGGAGGUUGUGCCCUUGAGGCGUGGCUUCCGGAGCUAACGCGUUAAAUCGACCGCCUGGGGAGUACGGCCGCAAGGUUAAAACUCAAAUGAAUUGACGGGGGCCCGCACAAGCGGUGGAGCAUGUGGUUUAAUUCGAUGCAACGCGAAGAACCUUACCUGGUCUUGACAUCCACAGAACUUUCCAGAGAUGGAUUGGUGCCUUCGGGAACUGUGAGACAGGUGCUGCAUGGCUGUCGUCAGCUCGUGUUGUGAAAUGUUGGGUUAAGUCCCGCAACGAGCGCAACCCUUAUCCUUUGUUGCCAGCGGUCCGGCCGGGAACUCAAAGGAGACUGCCAGUGAUAAACUGGAGGAAGGUGGGGAUGACGUCAGGUCAUCAUGGCCCUUACGACCAGGGCUACACACGUGCUACAAUGGCAUAUACAAAGAGAAGCGACCUCGCGAGAGCAAGCGGACCUCAUAAAGUAUGUCGUAGUCCGGAUUGGAGUCUGCAACUCGACUCCAUGAAGUCGGAAUCGCUAGUAAUCGUAGAUCAGAAUGCUACGGUGAAUACGUUCCCGGGCCUUGUACACACCGCCCGUCACACCAUGGGAGUGGGUUGCAAAAGAAGUAGGUAGCUUAACCUUCGGGAGGGCGCUUACCAC
rnacentral:rRNA from 1 species